UACGGAGGGUGCAAGCGUUAUCCGGAUUCACUGGGUUUAAAGGGUGCGUAGGAGGGCAGGUAAGUCAGUGGUGAAAUCUUCGAGCUUAACUCGGAAACUGCCGUUGGUACUAUCUGUCUUGAAUCCCGUGGAGAUGAGCGGAAUAUGUCAUGUAGCGGUGAAAUGCUUAGAUAUGACAUAGAACACCAAUUGCGAAGGCAGCUCGUUACACGAAGAUUGACUCUGAGGCACGAAAGCGUGGGGAUCAAACAGG
rnacentral:rRNA from 1 species